AUCGGAGCCAGACCGGAAGGCCACCGCCUGGUGUUUCUGGGGUCCGGCGGUGUUCUCGAAGGUCAUGUCACGAGCUAUGAAGCCGUCACCCGAAACACCUGAAAGAAGAAAUUAACGACUCUUAAUUAUUAAGUUGUUGGUCAAAAAGGUAGAAAAGGAUGUUUAUUUACCUUUUUUUACUAUUAUUUUUUCGUUAUGUUGUACAAAGUAAUGUUUGAUGAUUGUUAUUUUUUUAAUCAUUACUUUUAGUGAUUGUUGGUGAAAUAGGGGACAGACAAAAAGUUGUCAAAAUUGACUUGUGUUUUUACUAUUAAAAUUUUUUUUACUUAAUUGAACAAAAUUUAUGCAUGUUGCAUGAAAGAGCUUACCAACAGUUGCUGAACGAAAAGUGGUUGUGGUUUGAGCAUUCUUGCUACCGGUAACGAUGGUGGCAUCAAUACCAUCCCCAACCAACAUUAUAUUUUUAGCUGAUCUCUUAAUAUCCACAUUUUCCUUAUAAACUCCAGCUUUCACGUAUAUAACAGUUCUUUUGCCCCCACCAGCUGCUGCCACAGCUUCCGUUAUGGUCUUAAAGUUACCAGAGCCAUCUUGGGCCACCACAAUAUCGGCUUUUGGUGGUGCACCGGUAGUUUGCAAGAGCUUCCUAUCGGCAACCGAAAGCCAAGCCGGAAAUCCGUCGGAAAGUAGGCGUCGAUUGGCAACUUGUUUAGCGAAGUUACUAUGGGAAGUAGAGGAUGUAACAGUGGUGGCCUUGUUUAUGGCUAGAGAAUUGCUGAUCAACUUGGUAAUGUUUCCUAACAUGGAUGGUAAGGUUUGUAAAUGGGAGGCUAGAUUGAAGUCAAUGAAGCCAUUUUGACAGGUUUGUUGGUUGGCAAUUGCUGCACUUAACCAGGUUUGAG
rnacentral:lncRNA from 1 species